rnacentral:piRNA from 1 species
UGAAAGUUUGAUUCUGUUUGUGCACAUGGGU